rnacentral:lncRNA from 1 species
AGGGAUGGAAGUUCUGUCUAGGCUCUCAAUCUUGUAUACCCUAGCCUUGAUGACUUUGGUGACUCUAUAGGAGUCUUCUUGAUUCAGAAAUAGCUUUUCCUGCUUUGUAGGCUUUGACACCUCAGCUCGGUGCAAAAUAAAGUCUCUAGGUCAAAACAUUUUCAAUCGAACUCGUGCAUUGUAAUAGCGGGCCAUCCGUUGCUGAUAUGAUGCCAU